rnacentral:tRNA from 1 species
UGGCCUAGUGGUUAUGGCUAUGGAUCGCCAAUCCGGAGAUGGCGGGUUCGAUUCCCGU